AAUGUAACAAGAGUGCACACACUGAAUUGUCUCGCCUUCUUUACUAAUCAUUGAUAUUAUGUUGAUAGUCCUAAGUAUAAAGCUUUAUUACAACUGUCACAUAAACUUAACAUUAACCAAGAUAGCUAAACAAAGACCAAUGAACCAUGAAAAUGAGGUCAAGGUCAGAUGAACCAUGCCAGGCAGACAUGUACAGCUAACAAUGCUUCCAUACAACAAAUAUAGUUGACCUAUUACUUAUAGUUUAAGAAAAAUAGACCAAAAC
rnacentral:lncRNA from 1 species